rnacentral:rRNA from 1 species
AUGAAGGCCUAACGGUUGUAAACUUCUUUUCUGAAGGAGCAUAAUGAGAGUACUUCAGGAAUAAGGGACGGCUAACUACGUGCCAGCAGCCGCGGUAAUACGUAGGUCCCGAGCGUUAUCCGGAAUUACUGGGCGUAAAGCGUUUGUAGGCGGGGAAAUAAGUUGAUAAUGAAAGACCGGAGCUCAACUCCGUGUUUGUUGUCAAAACUGUUUUCCUAGAAUCAGGGAGAGGUAAGCGGAAUUCUAAGUGUAGGGGUGCAAUCCGUAGAUACUUAGAGGAACACCAAAAGCGAAGGCAGCUUACUGGAACUGUAUUGACGCUGAGAAACGAAAGCGUGGGUAGCGAAAGGGAUUAGAUACCCCUGUAGUCA